rnacentral:lncRNA from 1 species
UAUAUAUAUAUAUAUAUAUAUAUAUAUACCCAAAUUAAAACAGUUCAACGUAAAUCCGACUAACAACAGUUUAUGAGAUUACAGAAGGAAAUGCUCAAAAAGAGAUCACAGAAGGAGAGAAAAAGAAAGAGAGGAAGGAAAAAAGAGAGCCAGGAGCCAUUAGAUGAAGCGGGGGUCACAGAGAGAUGAGACCUUCCUUGACGAAGAGGCCAAAGACGAGGAUGACGAGGCCGAUGGUGACGCACUGCGUGGUGGAGACGAUGGUCUGCGAAUAAGCGCACAGCGUCACCGCCGUGCCAACUAAUCCUAUCAAGAACCCGCUUAGAUUACGAUCCAUCUCCCCCUUCUCUUUUGCUCCCUCUCCCUCCCUCACUCUCCCUCUUCCUCUCGCUCUCUCUCUCUGGAUUCCAGCAAAUCCAAUUCCGAUUGCGGGAAGAAAUCCCGAAGCUUUAGAAAAGUCAAAAGUCA